ACCCGAUGAGAACCAAACCUGUGGCAGGAACGGGGGAACCAAUUCCGGGCGUCGAACGCAGGCGUCCUAGGGGUGAAGCCACCAGCGGUGGCCGGGCAUUCCCAGCCCGAACCCGACAGCUCACCUCGCAGGCGUGGGGAAGGGCACUA
rnacentral:sRNA from 1 species